rnacentral:piRNA from 1 species
UAUUACGUUGUUUGUACAAAU